AACGACCAUCAAAUUUUGAACCGUGCUGGAGAACUCGAGAGGUUAAUUAUUCUGACAAAUCAGUAACAGCUAUGGCUCCGGAAAUAGAAUCAAGCUGAGCUAUAUACAUUCAGGCAGUCUUCUCAAUGCAAACUAUAUCAAAACUGAUGUCUUUGGCCUUGAGAUCCCCACUGAAACUGAAGGUGUUCCCUCUGAGAUUCUUCAACCUAUGAACACUUGGUCUGACAAAAAUGGUUAGAAUGAGACACUGUUGAAGCUGGCUGGUUUGUUCAAAAAGAACUUUGAGGUCUUCACUAACUACAAGAUUGGAGAGGAUAACAGCC